rnacentral:rRNA from 1 species
AGAAUGAACGUUGGCGGCGUGGAUUAGGCAUGCAAGUCGAGCGAGAACCCGCAAGGGGGACAGCGGCGAACGGGGUAGGACAACGUAGGUAACGUACCCUCGGGGCGAGGACAGCCACGGGAAACUGUGGGUAAUACUCGAUAAUCUUCCCAAUCAUUAUCGGAGGGGAAGCAAUGGGUGUGAUUCCACCUGAGGAGCGGCUUACGCAGUAUCAGCUAGUUGGUGAGUAACGGCUCACCAAGGCUAUGACGCUUAGGGGAUGUGAGAGCAUGAUCCCCCACACUGGACACUGAGACACUGGACCCAGACCACCGUACGGGUCGGCUGACAGGUCCGAAGAACUUCUUCGGACAAAUGGACGCUAAGUCCUAGACCGAGCGAACGUCCGACGUGCGGGUA